rnacentral:rRNA from 1 species
UACGUAGGUCCCGAGCGUUGUCCGGAUUUAUUGGGCGUAAAGCGAGCGCAGGCGGUCUUUUAAGUCUGAUGUGAAAGCCUUCGGCUUAACCGGAGUAGUGCAUUGGAAACUGGGAGACUUGAGUGCAGAAGAGGAGAGUGGAACUCCAUGUGUAGCGGUGAAAUGCGUAGAUAUAUGGAAGAACACCAGUGGCGAAAGCGGCUCUCUGGUCUGUAACUGACGCUGAGGUUCGAAAGCGUGGGUAGCAAACAGG